UACGGAGGGGGCAAGCGUUGUUCGGAAUCAUUGGGCGUAAAGGGCGCGUAGGCGGCUGAUCAAGUCGGGUGUGAAAUCCCUCGGCUCAACCGAGGAACUGCAUUCGAUACUGGUCGGCUAGAGUCCGGGAGGGGAUGGUGGAAUUCCCAGUGUAGCGGUGAAAUGCGUAGAUAUUGGGAAGAACACCGGUGGCGAAGGCGGCCAUCUGGACCGGUACUGACGCUGAGGCGCGAAAGCCAGGGGGAGCGAAUGGGA
rnacentral:rRNA from 1 species